rnacentral:rRNA from 1 species
UACGGAGGAUGCGAGCGUUAUCCGGAUUUAUUGGGUUUAAAGGGUGCGUAGGCGGGAUGCCAAGUCAGCGGUAAAAAUGCGGUGCUCAACGCCGUCGAGCCGUUGAAACUGGCGUUCUUGAGUGGGCGAGAAGCAUGCGGAAUGCGUGGUGUAGCGGUGAGAUGCAUAGAUAUCACGCAGAACUCCGAUUGCGAAGGCAGCAUACCGGCGCCCUACUGACGCUGAGGCACGAAAGCGUGGGUAUCGAACAGG